rnacentral:misc_RNA from 1 species
GUGAAUCAUCAAAUUUUUGAACGCAAAUUGCACUCUCCGGUUUUCCGGGGGAGUAUGCCUGUUUGCGGGUCAUCCUCAAUAAAAUCGUCUUAUGAUUUUGCUGUGUUUUUCACGGUAACUUUGGUCGAUAUUUGGGUUAUCUUAAACCUAAACGUUUUUAAGCGACUUAAAAUCUUCUUACGAUCUCGCGAACGUUUCUAAGAUUUUCUUGCGCAUUCAAGAUAUCGAUAUUAGACGUGACCGUCACAUCGGAUGGCCUUCAUAAUAAUUACUAUAA